UACGAAGGGGGCGAGCGUUGUUCGGAAUUACUGGGCGUAAAGCGCGCGUAGGCGGCUUUGUAAGUUAGAGGUGAAAGCCCGGGGCUCAACCCCGGAAUUGCCUUUAAGACUGCAUCGCUUGAAUCCGGGAGAGGUGAGUGGAAUUCCGAGUGUAGAGGUGAAAUUCGUAGAUAUUCGGAAGAACACCAGUGGCGAAGGCGGCUCACUGGACCGGCAUUGACGCUGAGGUGCGAAAGCGUGGGGAGCAAACAGG
rnacentral:rRNA from 1 species